rnacentral:rRNA from 1 species
UACGUAGGGGGCAAGCGUUGUCCGGAAUCAUUGGGCGUAAAGAGCGUGUAGGCGGCCCGAUAAGUCCGCCGUGAAAGUCCAGGGCUCAACCCUGGGAUGCCGGUGGAAACUGUCGGGCUAGAGUCCGGAAGAGGCGAGUGGAAUUCCUGGUGUAGCGGUGAAAUGCGCAGAUAUCAGGAGGAACACCGGUGGCGAAGGCGGAUCUCUGGGCCUUACCUGACGCUGAGGCGCGAAAGCUAGGGGAGCGAACAGG